CUGAAAAACAAGUCGGAGAGUUUGAUUUUGACAUAGAUUUCGAUAUCGACGAAGAUUUAGAAGUUAAUCUUACUGAAUCACAACAUUUUAACGAAUAUGACAAUUUUGAAAUUGGGUUUGAUGAUAUAGAUGAUAUUUUGCUCGAAGACGCACCAACGUUAUUGGGUGUUCCAAAAAUAACUUUCGUGGAUGACAGACAUCCUGCUUGUGGUGGAUGAUGAUGCUGGACAGAUGAAGGUUUUAGUAUAUGAAAAAUGUGGGCGAAUGUAUAAAAAGGAUAUGGUUUACGCCAAACAUGUGUCAAUUUGUGGGAAGAACAUCAAAAUUAUCAGUGAGGUAGAAAAAUUUUGAUAAAAUAAAACAAAGCUGGUUCCUUGACAAUAAAGCGAGACUCAUUAAAUGCAAAAUAAUUGCUUAUAUCAGCCCUUAAAAGCGCUUCGGAAGAUCCAGUAAACAACAUGAUCAUAUGUGGAGGGAAAAUCGAAACCCCUUGGAACAAAGUUAAAAAAUUAAGCGACUAGUCAAAGACUGAUGUUAGCCAUUUUUGUACAUUCAGUGAUAUGUUGAUUACACAAGUUUUCAAUGUAAUAAAUGCUCUGGCCAGGAAGUUUUGUGGUCUAAAGUACAUGCUAUUUCCACUUCUUACGAAAUUAAAGAGGCAUGGAAGCAAGUAUAUGAAUAUGUGUCUAACCCAGAAGUCUCCACGCUGAAUCAUUAUUUUUGAUGCAGUGUGUAUUUAAUAUAUUGAAAUACGAAAACGAGAUUAUGCAAUGUAAGACUUUAUCUAAGGUUGAACAAAACAGUCCGAAAAUAUCGGAAAGUGAGCAAGAAGUGCUUACUUAUGUAUCAGGGUACAUUGUGUUUUCGUUGAUCAAGAAGUACCGAAAAAUACUGCAAAGCAACACAAAGAUGAACAGUGUAGCCUUAUCAGCUCUACAACUUUUAAAUAAUUUAAAGGUUCAAGGAUUGGAUUCAAUUGAUGGGGAGUCUUUUUUGACACACACCUACAAAUGGAUAGACUUGGUUAAUAAAUAACAUGUUUUUGUUUGUCAGGCAUGUGGAGAACGUGGUGCAAAAAAUUAUGAAUGUCACCUUCAUCAAAAAAUACAAAGGUGAAGAUAUACAAGAUUGUAUAUAUAACAGUAAUUUUGUAAAUGACUACUGGAAUAAAAUAAACUAUUCAUUUUUACUUCGUUUCAAGAAAGUAAUAUGAAAUUACGCAAA